rnacentral:rRNA from 1 species
GCCGGUGGUGAUAGUACUUUGAAUCCACCAGUUCCCAAUUGAUCUCUGAAGAUAAGAAACUGGUAUUGGUAUAGGUAAGUAAAUGGGAAGAUAAGUAAAGUUGGGGAUGGUUUGUAUUCAGAUGAGUGACCAUCGGGACAAUUGCAUACUGCUGGCU